rnacentral:rRNA from 1 species
GGGAACUUUGAGACAGGUGCUGCAUGGCUGUCGUCAGCUCGUGUUGUGAAAUGUUGGGUUAAGUCCCGUAACGAGCGCAACCCUUGUCCUUAGUUGCCAACGCAUAAGGCGGGAACUUUAAGGAGACUGCUGGUGAUAAACCGGAGGAAGGUGGGGACGACGUCAAGUCAUCAUGGCCCUUAAGAGUAGGGCAACACACGUGCUACAAUGGCAAAAACAAAGGGUCGCAAAAUGGUAACAUGAAGCUAAUCCCAAAAAAAUUGUCUUAGUUCGGAUUGGAGUCUGAAACUCCACUCCAUAAAGUCGGAAUCGCUAGUAAUCGUGAAUCAAAAUGUCACGGUGAAUACGUUCCCGGGCCUUGUACACACCGAAGAAUCGCUAGUAA